rnacentral:rRNA from 1 species
CCUACGGGGGGCAGCAGUGGGGAAUAUUCCACAAUGGGGGAAACCCUGAUGCAGCGACGCCGCGUGAGUGAAGAAGUAAUUCGUUAUGUAAAGCUCUAUCAGCAGGGAAGAAAAUGACGGUACCUGAGUAAGCAGCCCCGGCUAACUACGUGCCAGCAGCCGCGGUAAUACGUAGGGGGCAAGCGUUAUCCGGAUUGACUGGGUGUAAAGGGAGCGUAGACGGCAAGGCAAGUCUGGAGUGAAAGCCCGUGGACCAACCAAGGGACUGCUUUUGAAACUGUGUUGCUGGAGUGCAGGAGAGGUAAGCGGAAUGCCUAGUGUAGCGGUGAAAUGCGUAGAUAUUAGGAGGAACACCGGUGGCGAAGGCGGCUGACUGGACUGCAACUGACGUUGAGGCUCGAAGGCGUGGGUAGCGAACAGGAUUAGAUACCCUGGUAGUC